AAAUAGGAUAAGAACUCAGAAACAUUGCGUUGAACCACUAAAUGACUUAUCUAGUGUUUUUUGGGGAUGGAAUAUGUUAGAAUACGAUAAAUUUGAUUGGUUACAAGUGCUAGAGAUGCGGGAAGAGUGUUUAAAAGUGUGGAAGACUUGUUUUAUUUGGGUCCCAAAUGGGAUAGGAACUCGGAAACAUUGAGUUGAACCACUAAAUGACUUAUCUAGUGUUUUUUGGGGAUAGAAUAUGUUAGAAUACAAUAAAUUUGAUUGAUUACAAGUGCUAGAGAUGCAUGAAGAGUGUUU
rnacentral:lncRNA from 1 species